rnacentral:rRNA from 1 species
CGCCUCUUGCAGAAUAUAAGAGGUCCCGCCUGCCCAGUGAAUAUGUUCAACGGCCGCGGUACCCUGACCGUGCGAAGGUAGCGUAAUCAUUUGCCCCCUAAUUAGAGGCUAGUAUGAACGGCUACACGAGGGCUAAACUGUCUCCUUUUUUUGAUCAGUGAAACUAAUCUCCCCGUGAAGAAGCGGGGGUGUGCCUAUAAGACGAGAAGACCCUAUGGAGCUUAAAACAAAGCAACAACUGCAGGCCCCACCCCCUAAACCCUAAGGGCAGCUCACUGAUUGCUAGUUUUGGGUUGGGGCAACCACGGAGUAAAAUUUAACCUCCGUGCUGAAAAAGACACGACCCUAAGCAAAAACCUACAACUUUAUGCAUCAACAAAUUGACAACAUUGACCCAAUAAUUUGAGCAACGAAACAAGUUACCCUAGGGAUAACAGCGCUAUCUACUUCGGGAGCACAUAUCUACAAGUAGGCUUACGACCUCGAUGUUGGAUCAGGGUAUCCUAGUGGUGUAGCAGCUACUUAAGGUUCGUUUGUUCAACGAUUAAAACCCU